GACGAACGCGGGCGGCGUGCUUAAUACAUGCAAGUGGGACGCAAGGGAACACACUGUGCUUGCACACCGUGUUUUCUUGAGUCGCGAACGGGUGAGUAACGCGUAGGUAACCUGCCUAUAGCGGGGGAUAACUAUUGGAAACGAUAGCUAAUACCGCAUAAUAUUAAUUAUUGCAUGAUAAUUGAUUGAAAGAUGCAAGCGCAUCACUAGUAGAUGGACCUGCGUUGUAUUAGCUAGUUGGUAAGGUAAGAGCUUACCAAGGCGACGAUACAUAGCCGACCUGAGAGGGUGAUCGGCCACACUGGGACUGAGACACGGCCCAGACUCCUACGGGAGGCAGCAGUAGGGAAUCUUCGGCAAUGGACGAAAGUCUGACCGAGCAACGCCGCGUGAGUGAAGAAGGUUUUCGGAUCGUAAAGCUCUGUUGUAAGUCAAGAACGUGUGUGAGAGUGGAAAGUUCACACAGUGACGGAGCUACCAGAAAGGACGC
rnacentral:rRNA from 1 species